AAUGAACGUUGGCGGCGUGGAUUAGGCAUGCAAGUCGAGCGCUCAUAGCAAUAUGGGAGCGGCGAACGGCGUAGGAAUUCAUAGGAACGUACCCUCAGGACGGGGAUAGCUACGGGAAACUGUAGGUAAUACCCGAUGAUCUCCGCGGAGCAAAGGUGUGAUUCCGCCUGAGGAGCGGCUUAUGCGAUAUUAGCUAGUUGGUGGGGUAAUGGCCUACCAAGGCGACGAUGUCUAGGGGGUGUGAGAGCAUGGCCCCCACGACCGGAACUGAGAUACUGUCCGGACACCUACGGGUGGCUGCAGUCGAGAAUCUUCCGCAAUGGACGAAAGUCUGACGGAGCAACGCCGCGUGCGGGAUGAAGGCCCUUGGGUUGUAAACCGCUUUCGGAGGGGAUGAAAUCCUCGAGGGUUCUCCCUCGAGGUUGACAGAGCCUCAAAAGAAGCACGGGCUAAGUACGUG
rnacentral:rRNA from 1 species